GCGCCCGUAGCUCAAUGGUAGAGCACUACUCUUAUAAAGUAGGGGUUCUUGGUUCGAUCCCAAGCGGGCGCA
rnacentral:tRNA from 1 species